rnacentral:lncRNA from 1 species
GACAUCCUGAAGACUUCUGUGGGAGCAGAUGCCUAGCUGAAGCACAGCUGACAAGAGAGUCAUGAAAAAGCCAAAAGGAUCACCUGCUAAGUCCAUUUUAAAAUCAUGAUCUACAGAAAGAGACAGGGUCUUGCUCCAUCACCCAGGCUGGAGUUCAGUGGCAUAUUCACAGCUCGCUGCAGCUUUCACCUUCCAGGUUCAAGUUGUCUUCCCACCUCAGCCUCCCAAGUAGCUGGGACCACAGGAGGAAAUCUCUUCACUGCUGGCACUGACAAUGGAAGACUGAGGGUGCCCGGGAUCCUUCACCCCCACAUCCAGUGAGUCCACGGAACCCAGGGUAACUGGGAUGGUAUCUGAUUGCUGUUGAAUAUCUUUAAUAUACCAAAACCUGCAAGGUGCUAGACAUACAAGAAAAAAUCCAAAUCUGUUGUUCUCCUUGUCUCGGAGCUGACCCUUUCCAGCAGAUGAUAUCACCUCUAAGAGAUGGGAGUCUCACUGUUUUGCCCAAGCUGGUCUUGAACUCCUGGCCUCAAGUGUUCCUCCCGCCUCAGACUCGCAAAGUGCUGGGAUUACAGGCAGAAGUCACUGCUCCAGGC